rnacentral:lncRNA from 1 species
GGAGACCCAAAUACAACAUUUCCCUACUAUAUAAGUAUAUAUCACUCCUCCGUCUCCUGUUCUGUUCCUCCAACUCUACAAAAACAGAGAGAGAGAGAGAGAAAUAUGGCUCAGAGAUGAGCCUAUCCAUCCAAUAGCUUUUUUUCUUAUGCGACAAAUGAAGUAAAUGAAAAUUCAACCAUCCGUCUUCUUCACGGAAGAAGAUGGCUCACCA